CCUACGGGAGGCAGCAGUGGGGGAUAUUGCACAAUGGGGGAAACCCUGAUGCAGCGACGCCGCGUGGGUGAAGAAGCGCCUCGGCGCGUAAAGCCCUGUCAGCAGGGAAGAAAAUGACGGUACCUGAAGAAGAAGCCCCGGCUAACGACGUGCCAGCAGCCGCGGUAAUACGAAGGGGGCAAGCGUAAUCCGGAGUUACUGGGUGUAAAGGGGGCGCAGACGGCGAUGCAAGCCAGGAGUGAAAGCCCGGGGCCCCCCCCCGGGACUGCUCUUGGAAAGGCGUGGCUAGAGUGCAGGAGGGGCAGGCGGAAUUCCUGUUGUAGCGGUGACAUGCGUAGAUAUCAGGAG
rnacentral:rRNA from 1 species